GCCUCAUGGACGAGGAGCAGAAAGACGAGCUGCUGACAGGUGGGUCCACAUGUCAUCCGCUCAUGCCAACCGCAAACCUUCCUGCAUCCACCGCGAGCCGCCCCCAUCGCGGCGGCCGCCGGCGUCGGCGGCGGCGGUGGCGGCGGCGCAGCCGCCGUCUUCGCGCCUCCGUGCGGAACCACCGACUAUCACCUGGUGCCAUGUAGCCAAAAGUUCCAGCUAUAGCAGAAAAUGACUCGUCGUCUCCAGCUUUGAGAAGAAUCUUUGCAAGCCCAAAAUCUGCCAUCUUUGCUCUGAAGUUGUGAUCCAGAAGGAUGUUGGCACACUUGACAUCUCGAUGCACUAUGGGAGGCGAGCAAUGGUGAUGCAUGUAGCAAAGGCCUCUCGCUGAGUCGAUGGCAAUUUGCAAUCUUGUUGGCCAAUCCAGAGGUCCUGGCACACCAAUUCUUUCCCUCUGGUGAAGCCAUUGAUGUAGGCUGCCGUUUUCCAUGUACUCGUAGAUCAGAAGCUUUGCCUCUGAACUUGAGAUGCAGCAUAGAAGCUUGACAAUGUUUGUGUGCCUGAUCUCUCCCAAUAUCUGAACCUCUGCAAGGAAGUCCUUCUCCAGCUUGUUAUCAAUAUUUUGCAUGUUCCAUAUCUUUUUGACAGCCAUCAUCCUGCCACCACUUGUUCUAUCUCCAGCAUAAACCCGGUACACCUUGCCAGACCUGCCACUUCCAAUCCAAUUCUGCUC